ensembl:lncRNA
GUAAGUAUUCCAGAGACUCUCCAAAAACGACUUUUCCUAUUUUUCCUGAACUUUGACCCAAAUACAUGGUCCUUGGACGAUCUGCCCCAUCCCGGCCCCAAAUGCACCCAUCAUUCAAUCCUACACAUUCGUGAAACAGUGGAGCUGCGUGAUGCGAGUAAUGGAUGUGUACUUUUUAGCAGCCGUUCUCACCUCUUAAUAAUGUUAAUGAUAAUUAAUAUUUAUUCUAAUGAUAGGAUGCUUUUUCUAUAGUUUACCAAAUUGAUGGAAGAUGAAAAACAAUGGGUUUAAAUGACAGCCUAAUGUUAUUGUGUAUAUAUAUAUAUAUAUAUAUAUAUAUAUAUAUAUAUAUAUAUAUAUAUAUAUAUAUAUAUAUAUAUAGCCUAUUUAUAGCAGUUUCAUUCAUGUUCUCUCGUGUUACGUUAGGUUGAGAUUAGUAGAUUAUGCUUAAAUAAAGAUAUUGGCCCGCAUAACUCCUUUAAGCAGAGCAGGUCAUCUGACACAUAUUAAAUGUUUGUUCAUCAAUAUAUUUAAGACACAAUCGUCUUUUUGUUUGGCUUUAUUACAUAAACCUUUUUGUUACAGAGACAGACUAUUUUCUAGGCUAUUAAAAAACACUUUCACCAGCAAUGCCGAUAGUGUGUGAAGGAGGGGGUUAUGGGAAUCAGUCAAAUGAAAAUCUCGACACAUGGGCUGCCCAUAUUAUUUCCUUAUGACGGAAAUACAGGUAACCCUACCCAUGUUGUCCGAAGUACGCGACUGGGAGCCAGAUUAUAGCCCUUCAUAUCGGACCUGGACCUUCACUCGAUCCGGAACCAAUUAUACUUUUUUUACAACAAGACUUAAUCCACUUACUUUCUCACUGAGAUACCCGGUCGCCAACCCGAUCACGAACACAAUCCAAAUGCUCCGCAUACUUGUGUCCCACCAGCGACUCGAAGGCUGAGGUACAAUAAAACCCAAAAGUGAGUGUCUUUUCUUUCAGCUGCGGGGGAGUUUGUUUGGGGCUGGCACUGCAGCGUGGCCCGCGGUGACGUCAGCGUGACGUAGCCUCGAACAAAAGGCAUCGGUGGGAACUGGGAGCAUGGAUGUAUUAUCCAUCAUCAUGAGCAUGUGGAGAAGAAAAAGAGAAGGAGAAAGGAAGGAAACAGGAAGUGAACAGUCGAACUCCAGACUCUGAGCAACAGCCUCAUUAACUUGUUAGUCAUUGCAAUGUUUUAAAAUCUAUACUCGUCCAAAUGCCCUACAGCUAUUUUAUUUUCAUGUCUCUGGUUCAGUCCCCUUAACAGUUUUACUUAAGUUUUUCUUCUUCUAAACCACUCUGUAACUUGGAUUUCAAAAGUGGUUUAUAAAUAAAUAAAGAAAACAACAAAGAAACUACUUAGUAGUCUCUUAUUUUUGAAGUCAAGGGACUUGAACCGUUGGCAUCCCAAAGUGCCUUGCUGGAGGGCCACAUGCCAAGUUCUAUCCCCCAUAUCCUCUGCUCUACUAGAGAACCAUCGGCCCCCAGUCGGC